ACGGAGGGUGCAAGCGUUGUUCGGAAUUACUGGGCGUAAAGGGCGCGUAGGUGGUUGCGUAAGUCAGAUGUGAAAUCCUGAGGCUCAACCUCAGAACUGCAUCAGAUACUGAAUGACUAGAGUGCAGCAGAGGGAAACGGAAUUCCUGGUGUAGAGGUGAAAUUCGAAGAUAUCAGGAGGAACACCGGUGGCGAAGGCGGUUACCUGGAAUGACACUGACACUGAGGCGCGAAAGCGUGGGGAGCAAACAG
rnacentral:rRNA from 1 species